GACGAACGCUGGCGGCGUGCUUAACACAUGCAAGUCGAACGGAAAGGCCCUGCUUUUGUGGGGUGCUCGAGUGGCGAACGGGUGAGUAACACGUGAGUAACCUGCCCUUGACUUUGGGAUAACUUCAGGGAACUGGGGCUAAUACCGGAUAGGAGCUCCUGCUGCAUGGUGGGGGUUGGAAAGUUUCGGCGGUUGGGGCUGGACUCGCGGCUUAUCAGCUUGUUGAUGGGGUAGUGGCUUACCAAGGCUUUGACGGGUAGCCGGCCUGAGAGGGUGACCGGCCACAUUGGGACUGAGAUACGGCCCAGACUCCUACGGGAGGCAGCAGUGGGGAAUAUUGCACAAUGGGCGGAAGCCUGAUGCAGCAACGCCGCGUGCGGGAUGACGGCCUUCGGGUUGUAAACCGCUUUCUCCGGUGACGAAGCGUGAGUGACGGUAAUGGGUAAAGAAGCACCGGCUAACUACGUG
rnacentral:rRNA from 1 species